rnacentral:rRNA from 1 species
AGCGAUGGACCAUUCAAGUUUCUGAACCAUCAGCUUGACGGUAGGUGUAAAGGCCUACCGAGGCAGCAACGGGUAACGGGGAAUUAGGGUUCGAUUCCGGAGAGGGAGCAUGAGAGACGGCUACCUCAUUUAAGGCAGCCAGCAGGCGCGCAAAUUACCCAAUCCUGACACAGGGAGGUAGUGCCACGAAAUAACCCUACAGGGCUAAUGUCUUGUAAGGGGAAUGAUGGUGACCCAAACCCUCACCAGAGUAGCAAUUGGAGGGCAAUUCUGGUCCCAGCAGCCGCGGUAAUUCCAGCUCCAAUAGCGUAUAUUAAACUUGUUGCAGUUAAAAAGCUCGUAGUUGAAUUUUAGCGUGUUCGAGUUUGCCAUUCGUUUGGCUUUUUCGAGUUCGCUUUUGGGUUUUCCCUUUUUACUUUGAGAAAAUUAGAGUGUUUCAAGCAGACUUUUGUCUUGAAUACUUCAGCAUGGAAUAAUAGAGUAGGACUUUGGUUCCAUUUUGUUGGUUAUUGAACACUUAGUAAU